ACGGAGGGUGCGAGCGUUGUCCGGAUUUAUUGGGUUUAAAGGGUGCGUAGGCGGGCGCUUAAGUCAGCGGUGAAAUCCCACGGCUCAACCGUGGAACUGCCAUUGAUACUGGGCGCCUUGAGUACCGUUGGGGUAGGCGGAAUUUAUGGUGUAGCGGUGAAAUGCAUAGAUACCAUGAGGAACCCCGAUAGCGAAGGCGGCUUACUGAGCGGUAACUGACGCUGAGGCACGAAAGCAUGGGUAGCGAACAGGA
rnacentral:rRNA from 1 species